rnacentral:lncRNA from 1 species
GGAUGACUGAUUAAAUUUGUUCAUUGCAUUCGCUUAGUCUGUAAUUUUAAAGACCGAAUUAACCUUCGCUUAGUUGGGUGAUUCGUGCCGGAUUUGGAUUAGAGUAAUGUGUACCUGUUGUCAAUCUGUGAUUGGAAGCAUAGUAAUUGAGUUAAUGACCAACCAUUUCCAUUCUGUCUUUGAAACCGUUUUUAGAUCUGUGUUUGUAUAUUUGUUUGCAUCCGUCUUUUAGUUUAAUUCAUCCGCAUUCACAAACUUUUCAACAACCCCCCCCACUUCGUGUGAGACCUGAUUCUCGAACCACAGUUUGGGCCUUGAGAGACGACCUAGGAGUCACUUCCUAGUACUAUACUGCAUUCUUUUAUGCACAUUAAAUUUUGCAUGGGGUGCGACACCCAUCAAAAUUUUGACGCCGCUGUUAGGGACCAACGGUUUGGUUUUAGGUCCUUUGUUGUGUUAGUUUGUGUUGUGUUUUGGCUUGUGUUGUGAGUGUGAUGUUCUGUUUUGUGUGGUCGUCAUUGUGUGUUGCAUUUAGCUAGCUUUAGUUGCAUAUUUUCAUUGUAUUCUUCUUUUCCCCCUUCAUU